AGCAUCUUGUGAGUUGUGAAUAUCAGCAGGGAAUCAGCAUCUUGUGAGUUGUGAAUAUCAGCAGGGAAUCACCUGAGACCUAAAGGCUUCUACCAGCAUGACCCCUUUAAGAAGGCCCUGAACCACCUCUGUAGGGGCCAGGGCAGCAUCUCAAUCAGCCAAGCUAAGAGAUAGAUGGGGCAGGUAGCAGCUGCUACCUGCCCAGGACUAAAGAAGAUCUCUUCCAGCUGUGGAGCCCAAGCUAGUAAUCAGGGUAGGUUUUCUGUAUGAGCUGAGAAGUAAUAGAGAGCAGAGGAGCUGCUUACCCUUGCAUCCCCUGCUGUUAGCUAGAAGGUUCAGAAAUUAGGCUUUUCUAACCUGCUGGAGUGAGGAUGCUGUGGGAGUGAUCUAUGGGGGCAGCUCUAGAGUAUCCUGAAAUGGAGGCCAGCAAGAGCACCUCUGCAUGUAUCCUUUGCCAAGCCCCAUAACCCUGAGUAAGGGACUACCAGGGUACUGCAGGGAUCAGAAGUGAUUGAGACCUACCAAGGCCCAGACUGAACUCAGAUAGUGGCCAGCAGCUGUCUCUGAAGAGGAGCCCACCUAGGAGAAAGGCAACAUUGAAGGCACCCAGAAGUUGCUAUGGAAACAAUGAAAGAUGGGAAAAUGGAAGCACCAGGGUAGUUUAAAGAUAUGCCACACCAGCUCCCCCCCCUUCACUUGAAGAUUAUUGCGUGCAAAGAUUUUUGUGGUUGGUAGCCAUCCCACUCCCCACUCCAGGUUCUUUUGCAAAUUUCUGGGUCAGAGGAAAAUGAAAGGACUUUCGUCACAGGUAUUUGUGACUAGUCCAAGCUGGAUGGAACAUACAGCUUUGAGCAGUUAGAGGGCUGCUGUAAUGACAUCUCCAUCAGAUCAAUAGAGGAACAGGCUGGAGACAAAUUUCAGCUACUUUGUCACUGAUGACAAGGGAUAGUUGAAGAAUGGAGCUGGGCUGUGAAACAUCUUGAGAUAGCUGAGGAUGAUAUGUUGAUGAUAACAAUAUUUUGCAUUAUGUAUCAAUUUUGCUAAGUGGUUCUCAUAUGUUAAUAAACCUUACAACAACC